rnacentral:rRNA from 1 species
UACGGGGGGGGCAAGCGUUGUUCGGAAUUACUGGGCGUAAAGGGCUCGUAGGCGGCCAACUAAGUCAGGCGUGAAAUCCCUCGGCUUAACCGGGGAACUGCAUCUGAUACUGGAUGGCUUGAGUUCGGGAGAGGGAUGCGGAAUUCCAGGUGUAGCGGUGAAAUGCGUAGAUAUCUGGAGGAACACCGGUGGCGAAGGCGGCAUCCUGGACCGGCACUGACGCUGAGGAGCGAAAGCCAGGGGAGCAAACGGG